GAGGCCGAGGCUGAGGCCAAGGCUGCCUUCCGCUCCCAAAAGCCCUGUUCUCAAAUCCCUUGGGUCCCGGAUGCACGUAUAGGCCCAGCCACCCUCCCUGCCUCAGAGCUGACAACAGCGCCUCCAUCAGCAAGCUCAGUAGCAGCCUGCCAACCCGGGGAGGGUCUGCGUGCCUCGAGCCUCCAUCCUGGAAAGACUUUCUGAGCAUCAAUAAGAGAAGGGCCUGCAGCCAGGGCAGGAAAAUUCACUAGCAAGAUGAAUAAUCCCAGAAAAUAAAAUGGACUGAUUGUUCGGCACGUGAGAAAGGCCUUAAGAUCACUCACAGUAGGGCAGCCCGGGUGGCUCAGCAGUUUGGCACCUGCCUUCAGCCCAGUGCAUGAUCCUGGAGACCCGGGAUCGAGUCCCACAUCAGGCUCUCUGUAUGGGGCCUGCUUCUCCGUCUGCCUGUGUCUCUGCCUCUCUCUCUCCCUGUGCCUCUCAUGAAUAAAUAAAUAAAAUUAAAAAAAAAAAAAAGAAUCACUCAGAGUUGCACAGAUUUCUGGGCACCAGAGAGAACGGAAGCCGCCUGGGCCCGCCUGCCCCUGCCGCCCGGCCACCAGAAUCCACGCAGAACAAGAAGGAGAACAAACAAAACCGCGCAAAAGCCACUCCCGGGCGCGAUCAGACCCCAAGGAACGCCGGGCUUCAACACCACUGCACGUGAGGAAGGAACAGACGAAAGGGAGGACAUCCCAGCGGGCGGCUGCUCACACGCUUUGCAGAGAAAAGUAGAGCCACUUGAGGAAAGCAGCCUUGGCGACCCCAUCGAGAGGGGCCUGUAAACCGCCCGAAGCCACAGCAUCGUCGGAAAGAAGUUACGUCUCUUCUAAGCCACCACCGAAACCAGCAUGUGAGGGGCGCCCGGGCGGCUCAGCGGUGGAGCAUCUGCCUUCGGCCCAGGGUGUGACCCCGGGGUCCUGGGAUCGAGUCCUGCGUCGGGCUCCCUACAUGCAGCCUGCCUCUCCCUCUGCCUGCGUCUCUGCCUCUCUCUGUGUCUCUCAUGAAUAAAUAAAUAAAAUCUUUUAAAAAAGAAAAAACA
rnacentral:lncRNA from 1 species